UGAGAGGCGGCCUGCUGGUCUGCUGGAGUGCUGCGUCCGGAUACAGAGUCCUCUGUACGGCAGGGACACGGACCCGAUGGAGUGUGUACAGAGGAGGGACACAAAAAUGAUCUAAGGGAUGGAAUACCUGCACUGCGAGGACAGGGUGAGGGAGCCGGGGCUGUUCAGCCCGGAGAUGAGAAGGCUCUGGAGAGACCUGAUAGCGGCCUCCCAUCCUAGGAGUGCUUUCUGUCUUGUCUCCCCAAAUACUGUAUACAAGGCACAGUCUGACCAGAGGAGAGGACAUCAUUGCUUAAGCCUGAAGACUGGAAAUAGUGAAGCUGCCAAGCUGUAACGUGGUGGUGUGAAAGGAUCUCACUGUGAUGGUGAAGAAGGUCUGCUGUCUGAGAGGUGGAUGUCCCAGAACUGUGGCAGAGGUGAGCACUCCAGCUUCCAUCAGGCCUGCUGGGGCAAUGGGAAGAAGUGAUGCAAUGUUCUUAGAGGGACACAUGGAAGAAUCUGUCUGCAUCUACAAGCAGUUGAUGAGCCAGAUAAAUGAACCUGCAUUAGCACGUGUGGACAAAUGUUUUCAAAUCAAACCAUACUAGAGCCUAAGUA
ensembl:lncRNA